GAUGAACGCUGGCGGCGUGCCUAAUACAUGCAAGUCGAGCGAACGGACGAGAAGCUUGCUUCUCUGAUGUUAGCGGCGGACGGGUGAGUAACACGUGGAUAACCUACCUAUAAGACUGGGAUAACUUCGGGAAACCGGAGCUAAUACCGGAUGAUAUUUUGAACCGCAUGGUUCAAAAGUGAAAGACGGUCUUGCUGUCACUUAUAGAUGGAUCCGCGCUGCAUUAGCUAGUUGGUAAGGUAACGGCUUACCAAGGCAACGAUGCAUAGCCGACCUGAGAGGGUGAUCGGCCACACUGGAACUGAGACACGGUCCAGACUCCUACGGGAGGCAGCAGUAGGGAAUCUUUCGCAAUGGGCGAAAGCCUGACGGAGCAACGCCGCGUGAGUGAUGAAGGUCUUCGGAUCGUAAAACUCUGUUAUUAGGGAAGAACAUAUGUGUAAGUAACUGUGCACAUCUUGACGGUACCUAAUCAGAAAGCCACGGCUAACUACGUG
rnacentral:rRNA from 1 species